rnacentral:lncRNA from 1 species
CGAAAGUCGGCGUCCCAGAAGCCGUUCUGGCUGCCGGCCGCCCGCCUUCCAGGCCGCGCCUGAUCCGCCGCUCCCCCUGCCGGCCGGCAGCCAUUUCCGACAGGCGACUGCGGAACUUGCCGAAGGGCGCCGCGCCGGAAAUGGCCGAAGCCGGCGUUCGCGAGCGGGGGCGCGGACGCGGGCGCGCGCUCGCCACUUUCCCGACCGCGUCCGAAGACCGCCGAGGCCUCCCGCAGCUCCGCGGUGACACCCGGGUCAGGGGCGCGGGGCCGGGCGCCGGGGAUUGUGGGAGGCGCGGGGGGGCGCGCCGGCCGCCUUCGGAGCCCCCCAACUCGCGUCCUGCAAAGGCCGCCGGGCCCUGUCGAGAAGACCCGACCGCAGAUGGCGGGGAGGAUGCUCCCGGCGGCGUGGGAACCGGGUCUGACUCCCGAGCCACCGCCGCUUCCGCAGGGGCGCCGGCCCCGGGAAAGUCAAGUCAUAAAUCCCUGAAUCUAAAACUCCAUUCUCAGAGAAAAGGCCUCCAAGGACGGGCGCCGUGCGCGGCAACUGCCUGCAGUUUUGAAGCCCUUUGACUAUUUCAUAACAAAGACAAGGCCGGGCGGCUUGGACGCUUAGGAAAAUCCUGGGGCUUUGCAAAAACAACAGGUUAAUCUAGUCGUGUGGGAUGAUCACCAAAACAAGACAGGAAAGAAGAACACCGUGUCAAUGCUGAAAAGCCAGCCCCUGUGAGCCCCAAAGUGCACGUUUUCCACAGUCCCAAGGAACACGUGACUGUGUGUUUCCACACUUGAGAAGUCAGGAUAAGACCCCUUGGAUAAUGGAACAGGGGAUGGGGGUGGGAGCAAGCACCCUACCUGGUCACCUGCUUAACUUAGAAACCAGCUUUUAAAACCUGUAACUGCAGUAUGAGCUACGAUCAAAUUUGUCUUAACGUAUUUUUUUUAAUGUUUUUAAUACCCAGAACACAGGGCUUCUACUCCAGGGUUUCCUCGCCAGGGAACCCCAAACACACAGGACCUGGAGAAGCCGGGUAGAGCUGGCUCCUGGCCCUGCGCUUGGGUGGUCGGCUGCCUUAAGAAGAACUGCACCCCAGAGACAGGCUCGCAGCUGCCGACCUUAUCCACUCGCCCUUUCUGCUGGAGCCCAGGCCCAGUGCUCCAGCAAGGAGGCUGAGAAAAUGCUGAAGACUGAUGCCCACGGGGGACAGCUUGGGCUAAGGAUAACGUUUGCAAAACAAACCUUUAAAAACCCAUAGCAACCUGUUUCCUAGAGCACACUCUUCAUCUCUCCACCCCCAAACUAGUCCCGACUCGGAUCCUCCUUUUCCUAUCCUCUUUCUCUUGCUCUCCCGUCUCCUAUUCACUUUUCUUCUCCUUUCCUCUUGAUUAUUAUAAACAAAUGCUUUCCAAGUCUUACCGCCAUCAUAUGUGUACAUAUGCAACCCUUACUGUUACCAAUUUGUUGAAGUCAAGACAGGAGGAGGCAAAGUUUAAAAAUCAGAAGUAUUGCAGGAAAUGAAAAUGGAGUGAGUGUUGCCUGGGUAUCAUAAUUUUUUUUUUUUUUUUAACAGUUCCUCUACUUGGCUCUCCUCCAAAGGUACGCGGCCACAGCAGGCAGGGGCUUGGCAGUGUGGGAGGAGACACCACAGAAGACAGGGAAGAACUACCAGGCCUUGGUUCAUCUCCACACUGGCGAGAGAGGACGUGCAGUUACCUGCUACCUGUUCGACUCAGUCUUUUACGUUGGAGUAACUUAACACAUUGCUGCCCUUAACUUUGACUUACUUGCUUUUAAAGAUGAUGAAGCUGGCCAGGCGCCGUGACUCAUACCUAUAAUCCCAGCAUUUUGGGAGGCCCAGGCAGGUGGAUCACGAGGUCAGCAGUUCAAGACCAGCCUGGCCAACAUGGUGAAACCCUGUCUCUACCAAAAAUACAAAAAUUAGCUGGGCGUGGUGGCGCGUGCCUAUAAUCCCAGCUACUCAGGAGGCUGAGGCAGGAGAAUCACUUGAACCCGGGAGGCAGAGGUUGCAGGGAGCCGAGAUCGCACCACUGCACUCCAGCCUGGGCAAUAGAGCAAGUCUCCAUCUAGGGAACAACAACAACAAAAAGAUUAUGAAGCCUUAGGAAGAACAGGGAUAUUCACCUGCUGCUGAGCCCCCCUCCGCUUUGAUCUUGUGAGUCUGCACUCUCCUGCUCCCCUGUCUCAGUCUCCUCUAGCUCCUGUUCCUUCUCCUACCUUGUGUUCUCUGCCAAUGAUAUGACUGGGGCUACUUUCUUUUUUCCUUCUCACACUCUCUUCUUGCUAAUUUCAACCAAUUUCCCUGCAUCAUCUCCACCUGCAAGCUGGUCCUUUACAGCAGAGCUUGGGGCCCUGCUGCCCAGUAGCACUCUGGACACCCUCACAUCAUCAUCAUCAUCCUAUUUUUAUUUAUUUUUUGGAAACAGGGUCUUGCUCUGUCGCCCACACUGGAGUGUAGUAGUGCAGUAGUGCGAUCACGGCUCACUGCAGCCCCGAUGUCCCUGGGCUCAGAUGUUCCUCCCGCCUCAGCCUCUGGAAUAACUGGGACCAUAGAUCCCUUCCACUGUGCCUAAUUUUUGUUUUUUGUUUUUGUUUUUGUUUUGAGACGGAGUCUCACUCUUCUUGCCCAGGCUGGAGUGCAGUGGCAUGAUCUCGACUCUCUGCAAACUCUGCCUCCCGGGUUCAAGUGAUCUCCU